rfam:Francisella tularensis subsp. tularensis SCHT S4 complete genome
AAUAAUCUUCAGGGCAGGGCGAAAUUCCCUACCGGCGGUAACUGCUUAUAGCAGAAGCCCGCGAGCGCUUUCUAAUAAAAAUAGAGAGGUCAAGCAGAUUUGGUGUAAUUCCAAAGCCGACAGUUAAAGUCUGGAUGAAAGAAGAUUGAG